rnacentral:tRNA from 1 species
AGGGGAUUGGUCUAACGGUAGGACGACUGACUCUGGAUCAGUUUGUGGAGGUUCAAAUCCUUCAUCCCCUGCCA